CUAAAGGAGUCUCAAGAACGAAGGAAAGGAUGCAACGAUGAAUGAAAGAAGUCAAACCAGGGGAUGCAUAACUCAAGAAUCACAACACGCUGUGAAUAAUUCUCAAAGGAAGCCCAAGCUUCUUUUUCUCCCACUUGCUUUGUCAGGCAGCAGCAUCUCUCAGAUGUUCCCUGUCCUGAAUGGAACAUGCUUCAUGCAUGUUAGGAGCUUCAUGCUUCUGUUGUUUCUCAAUGCCUGUGGGAGGCAGCAUCAUCCCUAAGAUGGUGGCUCUCUUGAAUGGAACAUGCUUCAUGCAUGUUAGGAGCUUCAUGCUUCUGUAGUUUCUCAAUGCCUGUGGAAGGCAGCAUCAUCCCUAAGAUGGUGGCUCUCUUGAAUGGAACACGCUUCAUGCAUGUUCCAUUCUGCCCUCUGAAGAAUGGUUUGGCAAGAAGAAACAGAAUUGGCACACCUUUCUCGAAGACCUCCAUGCCUGGAUGUUGACGUUGGAACCUUUUCUCCUCCCAAGUGGCCUCCGUGGCAGAUUUCAAGAAAGAACUAAAGGAGUCUCAAGAACGAAGGAAAGGAAGCAACGAUGAAUGAAAGAAGUCAAACCAGGGGAUGCAUAACUCAAGAAUCACAACACGCUGUGAAUAAUUCUCAAAGGAAGCCCAAGCUUCUUUUUCUCCCACUUGCUUUGUCAGGCAGCAGCAUCUCUCAGAUGUUCCCUGUCCUGAAUGGAACAUGCUUCAUGCAUGUUAGGAGCUUCAUGCUUCUGUUGUUUCUCAAUGCCUGUGGGAGGCAGCAUCAUCCCUAAGAUGGUGGCUCUCUUGAAUGGAACAUGCUUCAUGCAUGUUAGGAGCUUCAUGCUUCUGUAGUUUCUCAAUGCCUGUGGAAGGCAGCAUCAUCCCUAAGAUGGUGGCUCUCUUGAAUGGAACACGCUUCAUGCAUGUUCCAUUCUGCCCUCUGAAGAAUGGUUUGGCAAGAAGAAACAGAAUUGGCACACCUUUCUCGAAGACCUCCAUGCCUGGAUGUUGACGUUGGAACCUUUUCUCCUCCCAAGUGGCCUCCGUGGCAGAUUUCAAGAAAGAACUAAAGGAGUCUCAAGAACGAAGGAAAGGAAGCAACGAUGAAUGAAAGAAGUCAAACCAGGGGAUGCAUAACUCAAGAAUCACAACACGCUGUGAAUAAUUCUCAAAGGAAGCCCAAGCUUCUUUUUCUCCCACUUGCUUUGUCAGGCAGCAGCAUCUCUCAGAUGUUCCCUGUCCUGAAUGGAACAUGCUUCAUGCAUGUUAGGAGCUUCAUGCUUCUGUUGUUUCUCAAUGCCUGUGGGAGGCAGCAUCAUCCCUAAGAUGGUGGCUCUCUUGAAUGGAACAUGCUUCAUGCAUGUUAGGAGCUUCAUGCUUCUGUAGUUUCUCAAUGCCUGUGGAAGGCAGCAUCAUCCCUAAGAUGGUGGCUCUCUUGAAUGGAACACGCUUCAUGCAUGUUCCAUUCUGCCCUCUGAAGAAUGGUUUGGCAAGAAGAAACAGAAUUGGCACACCUUUCUCGAAGACCUCCAUGCCUGGAUGUUGACGUUGGAACCUUUUCUCCUCCCAAGUGGCCUCCGUGGCAGAUUUCAAGAAAGAACUAAAGGAGUCUCAAGAACGAAGGAAAGGAAGCAACGAUGAAUGAAAGAAGUCAAACCAGGGGAUGCAUAACUCAAGAAUCACAACACGCUGUGAAUAAUUCUCAAAGGAAGCCCAAGCUUCUUUUUCUCCCACUUGCUUUGUCAGGCAGCAGCAUCUCUCAGAUGUUCCCUGUCCUGAAUGGAACAUGCUUCAUGCAUGUUAGGAGCUUCAUGCUUCUGUAGUUUCUCAAUGCCUGUGGGAGGCAGCAUCAUCCCUAAGAUGGUGGCUCUCUUGAAUGGAACAUGCUUCAUGCAUGUUAGGAGCUUCAUGCUUCUGUAGUUUCUCAAUGCCUGUGGGAGGCAUCAUCAUCUCUACGAUGGUGGCUCUCUUGAAUGGAACAUGCUUCACGCAUGUUAGGAGCUUCACGCUUCUGUAGUUUCUCAAUGCCUGUGGGAGGCAGCAUCAUCUCUAAGAUGGUGGCUGUCCGGAACGGAACAUGCUUCAUGCAUGGUUAGGAGCUUCAUGCUUCUGUAGUUCAUCAAUUCCUGUGGGAGGCAGCAUCAUCUCUAAGAUGGUGGCUCUCUUGAAUGGAACAUGCUUCACGCAUGUUAGGAGCUUCACGCUUCUGUAGUUUUUCAAUGCCUGCGGGAGACAGCAUCAUCUCUAAGAUGGUGGCUCUCUUGAAUGGAACAUGCUUCAUGCAUGUUAGGAGCUUCACGCUUCUGUAGUUUCUCAAUGCCUGUGGGAGGCAGCAUCAUCUCUAAGAUGGUGGCUGUCCGGAAUGGAACAUGCUUCAUGCAUGGUUAGGAGCUUCAUGCUUCUGUAGUUCAUCAAUGCCUGUGGGAGGCAGCAUCAUCUCUAAGAUGGUGGCUCUCUUGAAUGGAACAUGCUUCACGCAUGUUAGGAGCUUCAUGCUUCUGUAGUUUCUCAAUGCCCGUGGGAGGCAGCAUCAUCUCUAAGAUGGUGGCUCUCUUGAAUGGAACAUACUUCACGCAUGUUAGGAGCUUCAUGCUUCUGUAGUUUUUCCAUGCCUGUGGGAGGCAGCAUCAUCCCUAAGAUGGUGGCUCUCUUGAAUGGAACAUGCUUCACGCAUGUUAGGAGCUUCAUGCUUCUGUAGUUUUUCCAUGCCUGUGGGAGGCAGCAUCAUCUUUAAGAUGGUGGCUCUCUUGAAUGGAACAUGCUUCACGCAUGUUAGGAGCUUCACGCUUCUGUAGUUUCUCAAUGCCUGUGGGAGGCAGCAUCAUCUCUAAGAUGGUGGCUGUCCGGAAUGGAACAUGCUUCAUGCAUGGUUAGGAGCUUCAUGCUUCUGUAGUUCAUCAAUGCCUGUGGGAGGCAGCAUCAUCUCUAAGAUGGUGGCUCUCUUGAAUGGAACAUGCUUCAUGCAUGUUAGGAGCUUCACGCUUCUGUAGUUUCUCAAUGCCUGUGGGAGGCAGCAUCAUCUCUAAGAUGGUGGCUGUCCGGAAUGGAACAUGCUUCAUGCAUGGUUAGGAGCUUCAUGCUUCUGUAGUUCAUCAAUGCCUGUGGGAGGCAGCAUCAUCUCUAAGCUGGUGGCUCUCUUGAAUGGAACAUGCUUCAUGCAUGUUAGGAGCUUCAUGCUUCUGUUGUUUCUCAAUGCCUGUGGGAGGCAGCAUCAUCUCUAAGAUGGUGGCUCUUCUGAAUGGAACAUGCUUCACGCAUGUUAGGAGCUUCAUGCUUCUGUAGUUUCUCAAUGCCCGUGGGAGGCAGCAUCAUCUCUAAGAUGGUGGCUCUCUUGAAUGGAACAUGCUUCACGCAUGUUAGGAGCUUCAUGCUUCUGUAGUUUCUCAAUGCCCGUGGGAGGCAGCAUCAUCUCUAAGAUGGUGGCUCUCUUGAAUGGAACAUGCUUCAUGCAUGUUAGGAGCUUCAUGCUUCUGUAGUUCCUUAAUGCCUGUAAGAGGCAGCAUCAUCCCUAAGAUGGUGGCUUUAUUGUAUGGAACACGUUUCAUGCAUGUUCCAUUCUGCGCUCUGAAGAAUGCUUUGAGAAGAAGAAACAGAAUUGGCGCACCUUCUUCAAGGACCUCCAUGCCUGAACGUGGAUGUGGAAGCGUUUUCUCCUCCCAAGCGGCCUCUGUGGCAGAUUUCAAGAAAGAACUAAAAGAAUCUGAAGAAAGAACAAAAGGAAGCAACAAUGCACGACAGAAGCCAAACCAGGGGCUCCAUUGACAGAUGUUCCCUGUCCUGAAUGCAACAUGCUUCAUGCGUGUUAGGAGCUUCAGGCUUCUAUAUUUUCUCAAUGGCUGUGGGAGGCAGCAUCAUCCCUAAGAUGGAGGCUCUCUUGAAUGGAACAUGCUUCAUGCAUGUUCCAUUUUGCCCUCUGAAGAAUGGUUUGGCAAGAAGAAACAGAAUUGGCAAACCUUCUUCAAGGACCUCCAUGCCUGAACGUGGAUGUGGAAACGUUUUCUCCUCCGAAGUGGCCUCUGUGGCAGAUUUCAAGAAAGAACAAAAGGAAGCAACAAUGCAUGACAGAAGCCAAACCAGGAGCUGCAUUGAUAGAUGGCCCCUGUCCUGAAUGCAACAUGCUUCAUGCGUGUUAGGAGCUUCAGGCUUCUAUAUUUUCCCAAUGGCUGUGGGAGGCAGCAUCAUCCCUAAGAUGGAGGCUCUCUUGAAUGGAACAUGCUUCAUGCAUGUUCCAUUCUGCCCUCUGAAGAAUGGUUUGGCAAGAAGAAACAGAACUGGCGCACCUUCUUCAAGGACCUCCAUGCCUGAACGUGGAUGUGGAAACGUUUUCUCCUCCGAAGUGGCCACUGUGGCAGGUAAGACUCAAAGGGAAGGAUGGGAGGGACCAAUAAAAACAUAUAUAUGUCAACGAGGGCUGUAUUAACUCCUAUUUGGAUGUUCUUACUUGCUUAUAAAAAUCUUGAAUAUACAGUUUCAAGUGCUCUAUUUAAAUUUGUCUCCCUAGCAGAUGUUCCUCUUGAGUUUUGCGCAGGCCUAUUGAAAAGUGAUCUUACUAAACAAAUGUAGGGACGCAGGAGCUGAGGUCCUGCGGUCAGGGUGAUGUGCUGGCAACCUCUCCCCUGUAGCUGACACAGUGAGGCAGGGACGCAGGAGCUGAGGUCCUGCGGUCAGGGUGAUGUGCUGGCAACCUCUCCCCUGUAGCUGACACACUGAGGCAGGGAUGCAGGAGCUGAGGUCCUGCGGUCAGGGUGAUGUGCUGGCAACCUCUCCACUGUAGCUGACACACUGAGGCAGGGACGCAGGAGCUGAGGUCCUGCGGUCAGGGUGAUGUGCUGGCAACCUCUCCCCUGUAGCUGACACAGUGAGGAAGAGACGCAGGAGCUGAGGUCCUGCGGUCAGGGUGAUGUGCUGGCAACCUCUCCCCUGUAGCUGACACACUGAGGCAGGGACGCAGGAGCUGAGGUCCUGCGGUCAGGGUGAUGUGCUGGCAACCUCUCCCCUGUAGCUGACACACUGAGGCAGGGACGCAGGAGCUGAGGUCCUGCGGUCAGGGUGAUGUGCUGGCAACCUCUCCCCUGUAGCUGACACAGUGAGGAAGGGACGCAGGAGCUGAGGUCCUGCGGUCAGGGUGAUGUGCUGGCAACCUCUCCCCUGUAGCUGACACACUGAGGCAGGGACGCAGGAGCUGAGGUCCUGCGGUCAGGGUGAUGUGCUGGCAACCUCUCCCCUGUAGCUGACACACUGAGGCAGGGACGCAGGAGCUGAGGUCCUGCGGUCAGGGUGAUGUGCUGGCAACCUCUCCCCUGUAGCUGACACAGUGAGGAAGGGACGCAGGAGCUGAGGUCCUGCGGUCAGGGUGAAGUGCUGGCAACCUCUCCCCUGUAGCUUCAAUAUAACUAUGAAAGCUUUCUGCAAUAUUUAUUCAUCAUAUUUAUAUACUGCCUGAUACAUGCACGCAAUCCAAAAAUACAACAAACAUAAAACAAAACAAUUAAAAUACUUUCACAGAAUGAAAACAAUUACAGAGUGUAACAUUAGUUUGAACUCAAAGCCUGAGAACAAGUGUGUAAGUAAGUGAGAAGUUUAUUGUUUUGACCACUGGCCAUCAUAUGACAUAAUGCAGCAUAACAUAAAACAUAACAUAAGAGGAACAAAAAGGAAACACUCAGCAUACCAUGAAGUUACUUCAACAGUCUAGUUAAACUGAAACCAACUCUAUAAUGUAGGAUAGAGCAUGGCAGCCAUAAAUUACUCUGAUUUUUAAAAAAAGUAAGGUAAAGGUGGCAAUUUGUCUUAUGACAUAUGGAAACACAUAUUCUUAUAAUAAAUGGAGGCUUGAGAAAAAGGAAGGGAAUUACCAGUUGGGAAAGGCUUGUUCUCUGUCUACUCUGGAGCUCUAGCGGGACAAACUAAACUGGGAGGGGCUACCCCUCCCAAGGCUUUUAUAGGCUUGGUAGCUAAUUUACAGAGUCCUCCUGCCUCUCUGGAACCACGAGAUGAUAACCCACACGAGAUGUCUUCCACAACAGCAGCUAGAAGAAGCCUUCAAGGUAAGUGCUCCUUUCUUAUAAUAAUGGCACCAAAGUGAGAACUUUGAAGUCUCUGAAAUAUGUUCCAAUAUUUUCUCUGCUUCAAGAUCUAAGAAGUUUGGUCCAUUGAUUCCCACCCAAACAAUGUGAAUAAACAGGUGUGUCUUAAGGGUCUUUUAAAAAGCAAUCCGAUGGAGAAGCUCUUAUUUUUGACAGCAACUGAUAUGAAGAAAGAAGGCGAAGAAUGAUGAAAAGAUUCUCUGCAAGGCGCAGCUGAUGGGCAGUUUCAUCCCUUAUUUGCUUUAAAUUUGUACUGUAUGUGUUUCUUUUAUUUGGGCAAUCUGUGCAUUUAAUACUUCUGAAAAACAUUUGCGUGGAACUCGGGUUGUUCUUUUUGUAAUGUGUUUUAGAUGUUUGAAAAAUUAUGGUUGUAAUAAAAUACUCAUUUCACCCCA